AGCGAACGCUGGCGGCAGGCCUAACACAUGCAAGUCGAACGGAUCCUUCGGGAUUAGUGGCGGACGGGUGAGUAACACGUGGGAACGUGUCCUUUGGUUCGGAACAACUCAGGGAAACUUGAGCUAAUACCGGAUGUGCCCUUCGGGGGAAAGAUUUAUCGCCAUUGGAGCGGCCCGCGUCUGAUUAGCUAGUUGGUGAGGUAACGGCCCACCAAGGCGACGAUCAGUAGCUGGUCUGAGAGGAUGAUCAGCCACACUGGGACGGAGACACGGCCCAGACUCCUACGGGAGGAAGCAGUGGGGAAUAUGGAACAAUGGGCGGAAGCCGGAUGCAGCAACGCCGCGUGCGGGAUGACGGCCUUCGGGUUGUAAAGCGCGUGCGCCUGUGACGAAGGGUGAGGGAGGGUAAUGGGUAAAGAAGCACGGGCUAACUACGUG
rnacentral:rRNA from 1 species